rnacentral:rRNA from 1 species
GAUCAUGGCUCAGGACGAACGCUGGCGGCGUGCUUAACACAUGCAAGUCGAACGAGAACCUGCGGAAAGAGGAUUCGUCCAAUUGAAGCAGAGGACAGUGGCGGACGGGUGAGUAACGCGUGAGGAACCUGCCUUUCAGAGGGGGACAACAGUUGGAAACGACUGCUAAUACCGCAUAACAUAUAGAUGUCGCAUGGCAUUUAUAUCAAAGAUUUAUCGCUGAAAGAUGG